GUAUGUGAUCAUACCAGCACUAAAGCACCGAAUCCCAUCAGAACUCCGAAGUUAAGUGUGCUUGGGCGAGAGUAGUACUAGGAUGGGUGACCUCCUGGGAAGUCCUCGUGUUGCAUUCC
rnacentral:rRNA from 1 species